UCCCCUAGUAACUGCGAGUGAAGCGGGAAAAGCUCAAAUUUAAAAUCUGGUAGUCUCUGGCUGCCCGAGUUGUAAUCUGGAGAAGUGUUUUCUGUGCUGGGCCGUGUACAAGUCUCUUGGAAUAGAGCGUCAUAGAGGGUGAGAAUCCCGUCUUUGACACGGACAUCCAGUGCUCUGUGAUGCACUCUCAAAGAGUCGAGUUGUUUGGGAAUGCAGCUCAAAAUGGGUGGUAAAUUCCAUCUAAAGCUAAAUAUUGGCAAGAGACCGAUAGCGAACAAGUACCGUGAGGGAAAGAUGAAAAGAACUUUGGAAAGAGAGUUAAACAGUACGUGAAAUUGUUGAAAGGGAAACGCUUGAAGUCAGUCGCGUCUAGCAAGGAUCAGCCUUUCUCGGAAGGUGUAUUUCUUGCUUGACGGGUCAACAUCAAUUUUGAYUACUGGAAAAAGGCCAGAGGAAGGUGGCACCUUCGGGUGUGUUAUAGCCUUUGGUCAUAUACAGUAGUUGGGAUUGAGGAAUUCAGCAUGCCUUCAUGGCUGGGGUUCGCCCACAUUCAUGCUUAGGAUGUUGGCAUAAUGGCUUUAAGCGACCCGUCUUGAAACACGGACCAAGGAGUCUAACAUACCUGC
rnacentral:rRNA from 1 species